CAGUCGCCGCGGUAAUACGGAGGGGGCUAGCGUUGUUCGGAAUUACUGGGCGUAAAGCGCACGUAGGCGGCUUGGUAAGUUAGAGGUGAAGGCCUGGAGCUCAACUCCAGAAUUGCCUUUAAGACUGCCGAGCUAGCAGGUGAGAGAGGUAAGUGGAAUUCCGAGUGUAGAGGUGAAAUUCGUAGAUAUUCGGAAGAACACCAGUGGCGAAGGCGGCUUACUGGCUCAUACUGGACGCUGAGGUGCGAAAGCGUGGGGAGCAAACAGGAUUAGAUACCCGAGUAGUCCCUGUCUCUUAUAC
rnacentral:rRNA from 1 species